AUUGAACGCUGGCGGCAGGCCUAACACAUGCAAGUCGAGCGGAGCGGCGGACGGGUGAGUAAUGCCUAGGAAUCUGCCUGGUAGUGGGGGAUAACGUCCGGAAUCGGACGCUAAUACCGCAUACUAUCAGAUGAGCCUAGGUGGGAUUAGCUAGUUGGUGGGGUAAAGGCCUACCAAGGCCACGAUCCCUAACUGGUCUGAGAGGAUGAUCAGUCACACUGGAACGGAGACACGGUCCAGACUCCUACGGGAGGCAGCAGGGGGGAAUAUUGGACAAUGGGCGAAAGCCUGAUCCAGCCAUGCCGCGUGUGUGAAGAAGGUCUUCGGAUUGUAAAGCACUUUAAGUUGGGAGGCGUUACCAACAGAAUAAGCACCGGCUAACUUCGUGCCAGCCGCCGCGGUAAUAC
rnacentral:rRNA from 1 species